AUGGUGUUUUGCUUUUAUUUUGUUAUGAAUUUUGUUGCGGAAACACUAAUGUUAUACUUUGCUAGUUGUCUCUCCUUUGCAACUAUGUUUACAUGCUUUCUCUAUUUGCUUAAUCCCUUGCAAAAGAUGUUUAGUAUCCCAUUAUUUAUAAAAUUGAUUUUGGAAGAAUUUCGUAGAACUUAUCUUGCAAAAGAUGUUUAG